CCUACGGGAGGCAGCAGUGAGGAAUAUUGGUCAAUGGGCGGGAGCCUGAACCAGCCAAGUAGCGUGCAGGAUGAAAGCCCUAUGGGUCUUAAACUUCUUUUAUACGGGCAUAAAACCCUCCACUUGUGGGGUUUUGUAUGUACCUUAUGAAUAAGCAUCGGCUAAUUCCGUGCCAGCAGCCGCGGUAAUACGGAAGACGCGAGCGUUAUCCGGAUUUAUUGGGUUUAAAGGGAGCGUAGGCGGGUCCAUAAGUCAGCGGUAAAAUCGUGCGGCUCAACCGUACCGUGCCGUUGAAAAUGUGGGACUUGAGUAUACGCAGGGUAGAUGGAAUUCGUGGUGUAGCGGUGAAAUGCUGAGAUAUCACGAAGAACUCCGAUCGCGAAGGCAUUGUACCGGAGUAAGACUGACGCUGAGGCUCGAAAGUGCGGGUAUCAAACAGGAUUAGAUACCCGAGUAGUC
rnacentral:rRNA from 1 species